UAAGCGGAGGAAAAGAAACCAACAGGGAUUGCCCUAGUAACGGCGAGUGAAGCGGCAACAGCUCAAAUUUGAAAUCUGGCCUCGGCCCGAGUUGUAAUUUGCAGAGGAUGUUUCUGGCGCGGUGCCUUCCGAGUUCCCUGGAACGGGACGCCACAGAGGGUGAGAGCCCCGUAUGGUUGGACACUAAGCCUGUGUGAAACUCCUUCGACGAGUCGAGUAGUUUGGGAAUGCUGCUCAAAAUGGGAGGUAAAUCUCUUCUAAAGCUAAAUACCGGCCAGAGACCGAUAGCGCACAAGUAGAGUGAUCGAAAGAUGAAAAGCACCUUGAAAAGGGGGUUAAACAGUACGUGAAAUUGUUGAAAGGGAAGCGCUUGUGACCAGACUUGCGCCGGGCGGCUCAUCCGGGGUUCUCCCCGGUGCACUCCGCCCGGCUCAGGCCAGCAUCGGUUCUCGUUGGGGGAUAAGAACGGCAGGAACGUGGCCCUCCUUCGGGUGGGUGUUAUAGCCUGCCGUACGAUACCCUGACGGGGACCGAGGUUCGCGCUCCGCAAGGAUGCUGGCGUAAUGGUCAUCAGCGACCCGUCUUGAAACACGGACCAAGGAGUCGUCCAUUAGAGCGAGCGUUUGGGUGUCAAACCCGCACGCGUAAUGAAAGUGAAAUUAGGUGAGAGCUUCGGCGCAUCAUCGACCGAUCCUGAUGUUCUCGGAUGGAUUUGAGUAAGAGUUUUAACGGACGGACCCGAAAGACAGUGAACUAUGCUUGUAUAGGGUGAAGCCAGAGGAAACUCUGGUGGAGGCUCGCAGCGGUUCUGACGUGCAAAUCGAUCGUCAAAUAUGAGCAUGGGGGCGAAAGACUAAUCGAA
rnacentral:rRNA from 1 species